UACAGUGAUGAUGACGAAAUCAAUGGAGUGACACAAGGUGAUAGACUUCGGGCCUUGAAAAGCAGAAGACAAUCCAAAACGAACGCUAUUCCUCUCACAUGUCCCCUAGCUGUGCUGACCUCUGCACUGUGUAGUGUUGUCAUCUGGUGGAUUGUUUGUGACUACAUUCUUCCCAUCCUGCUAUUCUGUCUCGAUGGUUUCAGAACACAGUAGCCAUCAGGACCCCCUGACAGAUAGCUGCUACAUAGCCAGAAUGCCUUUAAUAGGCUAAUAGCAGCAAAUUUGUAUUCUCUUGAGAUCUUUCAUCUUUGAAAUGAAGACCUUAACAGCGAAGAGGCUUUAUUUCUGCAGAAGAAUGUACAAGAGGCCCACUUGUGGAACAGCAUGUUGAAGACCCCCAGAAGGCGGGUGUGUCCGUGUCACGGGGUCCACCGCCACCCUUCUGUGUCUGAGCUGCGUUCUUUCUUCUCUGAAGCUUUUUCCUUAACUCAUAUUUUAAGAAUUUCUUCUCUUGUCUCCUCUUGGACUUGGAAGUUAUGAAAGAAUGCAAAAGUUCCUUGCAAGAUCUCUUCCAAAGAAAAAUUCCAUUGCAGCCAACUCUGGUACUUUGUGGUUUCAUUGAGUAUUUUCACAUAGCUGAGAAAGAUUUAAAAAUCAAGCUGAUUUCACUCUUCAGAAUUAGGCAAAAC
rnacentral:sRNA from 1 species